UGAGCAAGGAGACUCAUGCCAGUGCCCCCGUC
rnacentral:piRNA from 1 species